CCUACGGGAGGCAGCAGUGAGGAAUAUUGGUCAAUGGACGAGAGUCUGAACCAGCCAAGUAGCGUGAAGGAUGACUGCCCUAUGGGUUGUAAACUUCUUUUACAUGGGAAUAAAAUGUUCCACGUGUGGGAUUUUGUAUGUACCAUAUGAAUAAGGAUCGGCUAACUCCGUGCCAGCAGCCGCGGUAAUACGGAGGAUCCGAGCGUUAUCCGGAUUUAUUGGGUUUAAAGGGAGCGUAGGUGGAUUGUUAAGUCAGUUGUGAAAGUUUGCGGCUCAACCGUAAAAUUGCAGUUGAAACUGGCAGUCUUGAGUACAGUAGAGGUGGGCGGAAUUCGUGGUGUAGCGGUGAAAUGCUUAGAUAUCACGAAGAACUCCGAUUGCGAAGGCAGUUCACUGGACUGCAACUGACACUGAGGCUCGAAAGUGUGGGUAUCAAACAGGAUUAGAUACCCCAGUAGUC
rnacentral:rRNA from 1 species